rnacentral:tRNA from 1 species
GUCAUAGUUCAGCUGGUAGAGCACCAGAUUGUGGUUCUGGUUGUCGUGGGUUCGAGUCCCACUGG